GUUAAGGUAUUAUAAAACCUAAUGUGGCGACUAAUUUUUCCGACGGGAUAUCAAACAUUCUUCACUGGCAACUAUUGGCUUUCAUUAUAAAAAUACACAUUUGGCAGCGAUUGUUAGGUAGCUUUAAAACUGAAAAUGGUAAUUUUUUUUAAGACCCGGAAUGGUAACAAUUUGUCGCCGCGUUAAAUACAUGCCUAUUUUAA